rnacentral:rRNA from 1 species
GACGAACGCUGGCGGCGUGCCUAACACAUGCAAGUCGAACGAAGUUAAGAAGGAGCUUGCUUCUUCUUAACUUAGUGGCGGACGGGUGAGUAACGCGUGAGUAACCUGCCUUUCAGAGGGGGAUAACGUCUGGAAACGGACGAUAAUACCGCAUAACAUUUCGGAGCUGCAUGGUUCUGAAAUCAAAGGAGUAAUCCACUGGAAGAUGGACUCGCGUCCGAUUAGCUAGUUGGUGAGAUAAUGGCUCACCAAGGCGACGACGGGUAGCCGGCCUGAGAGGGCGACCGGCCACACUGGGACUGAGACACGGCCCAGACUCCUACGGGAGGCAGCAGUGGGGAAUAUUGCACAAUGGGCGAAAGCCUGAUGCAGCGACGCCGCGUGAGGCGAGAAGGCCUUCGGUUGUAAACGUACUUCUGUCUGGAGGACGAGGAAGUAGACGGUACCUCGGACGAGACGAAGGCAACGACGUACGACCGUAGCCAGCCGACGGAACCGACGGUAACUACGUAACUCGUACG